UGGGGAAUAUUGGACAAUGGGCGCAAGCCUGAUCCAGCCAUGCCGCGUGGGUGAUGAAGGCCCUAGGGUUGUAAAGCCCUUUCGGCGGGGAAGAUAAUGACGGUACCCGCAGAAGAAGCCCCGGCUAACUUCGUGCCAGCAGCCGCGGUAAUACGAAGGUGGCUAGCGUUGCUCGGAAUCACUGGGCGUAAAGCGCACGUAGGCGGCUUGUUAAGUCAGGGGUGAAAUCCUGGAGCUCAACUCCAGAACUGCCUUUGAUACUGGCAAGCUUGAGUUCGGGAGAGGUGAGUGGAACUGCGAGUGUAGAGGUGAAAUUCGUAGAUAUUCGUAAGAACACCAGUGGCGAAGGCGGCUCACUGGCCCGAUACUGACGCUGAGGUGCGAAAGCGUGGGGAGCAAACA
rnacentral:rRNA from 1 species